rnacentral:lncRNA from 1 species
AGAGACUUCUAUCUAGGCAGAAAUGGAAUUCCAGCUUUCUUUUUGUCUUUCUAGAGUUGAUUCUUUCUUUUCUAGUUUUGUAAAGGGCAAUUCUGCUUAAAAACAGUCCACUUUAUUAUCAUUUAUUCUGGCCAAAACUACCAAUCUUGUACUGAGAUAAAUUGCGAAUUCCUCACCAGUCUGAGGCAGAAAAAAAACUUACUUGGGAGAUAUUCCUCACCUAAAUUCAUAAUUGCUUGUUUAGAAAUCAAUAACUUGGGGUGCAAGUUAUCUAUUUCAAAGAAGUCUACUAGGGUUUUCAUUGCUAGCAGUUGCACGCUCAUACACUAAAGAAAGCUGACUUGUUGACCAGUCAAUGGUUUUCAAGGUAGUGGGGAACUUUACCCUUCCAUCAUAGAAGCAAACUUAAAAUGGGUGAACAAUGUUAUCAUUGAUUAUAGUGAAAUACUCCGUCGUCUUCAAACUGGAUGUAGGCAUUUCCGAACCAGUAUAAAUCUUGGUGUUCUUGUUGGUGUUGUUUUGUUCUUUUUUUAUCUCUUGC